AGAGAGAGAGAGAGAGAGAGAGCAAGCACAAGUGGGGCUGUUUCCCCCCUUUCCUUCACUGCCUUUUCCAGGCCCUGGAUGUUGCUUAUGUGUGGAGAAAAGAGUGCUGGGGCUAUAUGGUCCCCAGAGCUCUUGCAUCCCAUCAGAAGUAUGGUAUUGGCGUCCAGCACAGACCUUGAAGCGAUAAUGUGAAUUUGUGACAAAUUUGGAAAAGGAGAAUGAAGUGUUUGGUCCUUUGUAAAUCUAAAGAAAAUUGAGACAAAGUGAAAAUUAUAUUGUUUUGCCAUAAUAUGGUAUAGUUUUUGACAAGAAAGAUAUGAAUUAACCCAUUCAUCUCAUAAAUAUGUUCACAGCAAAAAUAAAAUAAAAUUACUCUUA